GUCGCGUGAUCACGUGACAAUCCCAGCCUUAAAUUGACAACAUAACAUGUGCAAAACGCUCAAAACUCCACAGGUACUUCUAUUCUGUAUUUGAAAUGCAUUGUUGAAAUUCUUGACGUGUCGAAACGUGAAGCUACGGUCACUGUGAAUUGACGUUAAAUGUUAAACUACUACUAAUUUCGAUGCAGUUGGAAACCAUAUUGUGUGUUAGAAACCGAAGAAGUCAUGCAGAGAUUUCAUUCUUCGAACAAAUUCGCUGCAUUCUGGAAUGAUGAUGUAUAAGUGGCUUUUCUUUAUAUAUGCUCUUUGGGAUCCCGCUGAAAAUGUGAACUAUGGAUCAGGUGCUGUCAAACAUGUAUAAGGGUAUGAUGAUGCAAUUUUUUUGUGUCAUCUACAUGUGUUGUUUUACCUGCUGCCCAUAGGAAUUAUGCUGUUGCCAUGGUUACUGUAUUUGGAAGUGGCGUACGUUUUGAUACAGUCGUCGUACAAUGUUGAGCCCGAAGGCAUAGACAGUAAUCACUAAUGUCAUCACUUGGUGGAGCUUUUAAGCGGAGUUUGCUUUUCCUCAUAAAGUUGGCCUGGGACUCGCGAUUCCGCCUGCCUGUCAUAAUAACAGUUGGUUUUAUGGUACUAGAUGUGAGAAUGCAGCUGGAAAUAAACGUUGAUGUUGAUGCUCGUAAUAUGCCUGCUGAUUCUGAUGAUGACUCUGACGAAGAGGAAGAUGACGAUGAUGAUGAUGACGACGACGACGACGAUGAUGACGACGAGGAUGAGGAGGAGGAGGAGGAUUAAUGUGUUAGCAACAUGUAGGACGUACCUGAUGAUAUUUGUGAAAUCAGCAAAUGUGAAUUGUAGGACCCAGUGUCUAAUGGUGAGCUAGCAUGUAUAACAUAUAAUACGGAUACGUUAUGCCACUAUACUUUUAUUCAUGCCCUCUGCCAUUAUUUCAAACCGUAAGUCCUACGUAUAAAUAUUUGUGUUUGCCCAUUUAAGCUCAAACGAAGUUGUUACUGCAUUGCGUCAUAAUAAGGACAAGAUGAAUUGCAUUACCUCACCAGGACAUUUUUAAUGACAUUAAUAGAUUCAAUUUUAUUAAUGUUGUGUUGAUCGUC